rnacentral:rRNA from 1 species
GCAAGUCGAGCGCUUUCCUUCGGGAAGGAGCGGCGGACGGGUUAGUAACGCGUGGGAAUGUACCCUUUUCUAAGGAAUAGCCUCGGGAAACUGAGAGUAAUACCUUAUACGCCCUUCGGGGGAAAGAUUUAUCGGAGAAGGAUCAGCCCGCGUUAGAUUAGAUAGUUGGUGGGGUAAUGGCCUACCAAGUCUACGAUCUAUAGCUGGUUUUAGAGGAUGAUCAGCAACACUGGGACUGAGACACGGCCCAGACUCCUACGGGAGGCAGCAGUGGGGAAUCUUGGACAAUGGGCGCAAGCCUGAUCCAGCCAUGCCGCGUGAGUGAUGAAGGCCUUAGGGUCGUAAAGCUCUUUCGCCAGGGAUGAUAAUGACAGUACCUGGUAAAGAAACCCCGGCUAACUCCGUGCCAGCAGCCGCGGUAAUACGGAGGGGGUUAGCGUUGUUCGGAAUUACUGGGCGUAAAGCGCACGUAGGCGGAUCAGAAAGUUAGGGGUGAAAUCCCAGGGCUCAACCCUGGAACUGCCUCUAAAACUCCUGGUCUAGAGUUCGAGAGAGGUGAGUGGAAUUCCGAGUGUAGAGGUGAAAUUCGUAGAUAUUCGGAGGAACACCAGUGGCGAAGGCGGCUCACUGGCUCGAUACUGACGCUGAGGUGCGAAAGUGUGGGGAGCAAACAGGAUUAGAUACCCUGGUAGUCCACACCGUAAACGAUGAAUGCCAGACGU